rnacentral:rRNA from 1 species
UNAGUUUGAUGAUGGCUCAGAGCGAACGUUAGCGGCGGGCCUAACACAUGCAAGUCGAACGAGAAAGUCCUUCGGGGCGAGUACAGUGGCGCACGGGUGAGGAACGCGUAGGUAAUCUACCCUCUGGUGGGGGACAACAUUCCGAAAGGAAUGCUAAUACCGCAUAAGACCACAUUCACCACGGUGAGAGUGGUAAAAGGCGCCUCAAAGCGUCACCAGAGGAUGAGCCUGCGUCCCAUCAGCUUGUUGGUAAGGUAACGGCUUACCAAGGCUAAGACGGGUAGCUGGUCUGAGAGGAUGAUCAGCCACACUGGCACUGGAACACGGGCCAGACUCCUACGGGAGGCAGCAGUGAGGAAUAUUGGGCAAUGGGCGAAAGCCUGACCCAGCCACGCCGCGUGUGUGAUGAAGGCCUUCGGGUCGUAAAGCACUGUGGGGAGAGACGAAACCGCGCAUCAGGAAAUGGGUGCGUCUUGACGGUACCUCCUUAGCAAGCACCGGCUAACUCUGUGCCAGCAGCCGCGGUAAUACAGAGGGUGCAAACGUUGCUCGGAUUUACUGGGCGUAAAGCGCGUGUAGGCGGACUCGCAAGUCGGUUGUGAAAUCCCUGGGCUCAACCUAGGAACUGCAUCCGAAACUGCGUGUCUUGAGUAAUGGAGAGGGUGGCGGAAUUCCCGGUGUAGAGGUGAAAUUCGUAGAUAUCGGGAGGAACAUCAGUGGCGAAGGCGGCCACCUGGACAUUCACUGACGCUGAGACGCGAAAGCGUGGGGAGCAAAC